UACGUAGGGGGCAAGCGUUGUCCGGAAUCAUUGGGCGUAAAGCGCGUGUAGGCGGCUCGGUAAGUCCGCUCUGAAAAGUCCAGGGCUCAACCCUGGGGAUGCGGGUGGAUACUGCCGGGCUCGAGUCCGGAAGAGGCGAGUGGAAUUCCCGGUGUAGCGGUGAAAUGCGCAGAUAUCGGGAGGAACACCAAUGGCGAAGGCAGCUCGCUGGGACGUGACUGACGCUGAGACGCGAAAGCGUGGGGGAGCAAACAGG
rnacentral:rRNA from 1 species